GACGAACGCUGGCGGCGUGCUUAACACAUGCAAGUCGAACGGAAAGGCCCUGCUUUUGUGGGGUGCUCGAGUGGCGAACGGGUGAGUAACACGUGAGUAACCUGCCCUUGAUUUUGGGAUACCUUCAGGAAACUGGGGUUAAUACCGGAUAGGAGCCCCGGCUGCAUGGGGGGGUUGGGAAAGUUUCGGCGGUUGGGGAUGGACUCGCGGCUUAUCAGCUUGUUGGUGGGGUAGUGGCUUACCAAGGCUUUGACGGGUAGCCGGCCUGAGAGGGUGACCGGCCACAUUGGGACUGAGAUACGGCCCAGACUCCUACGGGAGGCAGCAGUGGGGAAUAUUGCACAAUGGGCGGAAGCCUGAUGCAGCAACGCCGCGUGCGGGAUGACGGCCUUCGGGUUGUAAACCGCUUUCGCCUGUGACGAAGCGUGAGUGACGGUAAUGGGUAAAGAAGCACCGGCUAACUACGUG
rnacentral:rRNA from 1 species